ACAUGUACGUAGUAGUGAAGGGAAACCGGACCGAGCCUUCGGGCAGCGUAGACAGCUUCUGCAUGGCUGUCGUCAGCUCGUGUCGUGAGAUGCUGGGUUAAGUCCCGCAACGAGCGCAACCCGUGUUGCUAGUUACAAGUGUCUAGCGAGACUGCCGGUAACAAGCCGGAGGAAGGUGCGGAUGAUGUCAAGUCAGCAUGGCCUAUAUGUCCAGGGCUACACACACGCUACAAUGGCUGGUACAAAGAGAAGCGAAAGGGAGACCUGAAGCGAAUCUCAUCAAAGCCAGUCAUAGUUCGGAUUGCAGGCUGCAACUCGCCUGCAUGAAGUCGGAGUUGCUAGUAACCGCAGGUCAGCAAUACUGCGGUGAAUACGUUCCCGGGCCUUGUACACAC
rnacentral:rRNA from 1 species